rnacentral:lncRNA from 1 species
CCCUCAAGGCCGACCUGGUGCCCACGCCGCUGAUGUGGGCCCUCCUCCGCCACGUGAGUGAUCCGCCACUUCGAAUCUUUCGAUUCAACAAGAUAUUCGUCAUCUCUUACACUCCGGGGCGCAUAUUGUUGUCUCCAGAUUGCAAAAGCCCAGGCGCGCUCGUGUGGGACUAGGUGGUGCACGAGCACCAGGGGGGAGACUCGUGACCUGCAUCUGGCUCCACGCCGGCGUCGUCCACCUGCUCGCGAACAUGCUUAGCCUCGUGCUCGUCGGGCUCAGGCUCGAGCAGCAAUUCAGAUUCGGUACACGUUCGUCCACGGAACUGACGUGGGCCCUGCAGGUGUUUGGUUGCUUGCCUGCUUGCUCCUAGACGAGUAGAGAUCUUCCUUUGUUUGGUUGUUCUGUCGUGAUCUAUGAUUAGUGAUUAAAUCUUUGAUCCCCUUUGAUGCCAAUGCAUAAUAAUAACUAGUUGUGUUGAGAGGAUUGCGAUGUUGCUUGCUGAGUUGACAGCCUAGAACUGGUAGUGUCUGACUUCUUAGAUUGCCAUUCAGCUAUUAGUAACAGUCCAUCAUGAUCCAUAUAGCUUGUGAUCCUGACAAAGACAAUACAUCUACAUUAGAUAAGAUUUUACUGUGAUUGUGUCCAACUGUCCAUAGUGGUUCUACGCACUAUCUACAUUAAGAGCAUAUCCAGUAGGAGCCUAAAGGCUUGGAUUAUUUCAUCAAAUAACUCAGCUUGUACAAUUUUUUGUCAUCCAAACACAGAUCUAGAAGCUUGCUUUUAAUUGCUUCAAUGCUUCUUUAUACCAAAGUACAUGGGCUUGCAUAAAGAUUUCACUUCAUUCUGUUGAUGUGCCUGCUUCAUAUUAUCAUCCCUGAUAGACAUACUUUAGAGAUUCUAAUUCAUGUAUGAUGGUAUCAAAGGGGAUCAUUGUACUCAUAAUAAUAACUAGUGGAGUUGAGAGGUUUACUUUGCUCUGCAUUCUAAAGUAACAUAUUUCUGAUGCCCAUAUGCUACUUUGCUCUGCACAAAAAUAUCCUGUUAAAUCAUUGCAUGUAUUUCAGGUCUUUACAGUGGCAUUGGAUGGUCAAUAUUAGGUAAACUGCCUGGUUUGGGAGCACGUUUGGCUGCCUGGAUGAUGAUGCUGCUGCUGUCAAUUUACUCUUGAUCGAUUUCUGCCUUGACAAUGUAAGUACUUCCAUUGUUCAACAGUUUGCCGCGUUCAUCAGCUAUCCCAUUUGGUUUGUUUCCUCCAAUUAACUGCUGCUCCUGCUGCUGUUACAGCUGGCUUGGUGGCCUUGCGUGCAUCUUCUCCACCAGCGUUCUCUUCCAAAUCCUGGUAAUUAAGCCUAAUAACAUGUCCACUCACUCACUAUCCUCUAAAAUAAGCUCCCACUCCUUUUCUGAAUUGAAUUAGGUCUCUGAAAUUUAAGCUUAUAGAACCUACAGUGUCAAUCAGGUCUCUGAAAUUUAAGCUUAUAGAACCUACAGUGUCAAUUAGGUCUUUGAAAUUUAAGCUUAUAGAACCUAGGAAAAGAUUAGAAUUAAAAUAUAACAGUGUUGACUGAUCGCCACAGUGUUGUUUUGCUGUGCUUGAUAAACCUGAGACUUCUUUUUAUUGUAAUAUUGAAGUUGUUUGGUUCUGGCCUCAGCAGUAGUACACUCUAAUUUUGGUGGCCUUUAUGUUCAUUAUUUUACAGGAGCUCCAGGCCUAUUUUUUUGGAGUGUGAAGCCGUGAAGCCAAGUGUGAAGCUGUGAAGCCAAGUGUGAAGCAGUACUUAGCAAAGAGUUUUUGGUUCUGUACUUAGCAAAGAGUUUUUGGUUCUGAAGUGUGAAGCCAAGUGUAAAUUGUAAUAUUGUAAAAGUCUAAUGUAGUGUUAAUGAAUUAUAUCUGUUCUGUCCUAUUUGAAAUAAUGAUUAUGUAUGUUGAAAAGAUGUGAAAUGGAAACUUGACCAGUGGGACCCAGUUAUGAAUAUAAUCUGAGCAAUUUUGAAAUUUCUGACAUGUGUGACUGAUGUAUGGCAUUAUGACUAGUGGGACCAGCGCC